CCCCAGCUUGCACAAAACUAGAGAUCCAUGUUGCUCUUAAAUCAUUUCUCAGAAAGUCAGUUUAAUCCAAUAUAAAUAAUAUUCUGGUGUAUGCAGUUGUGGGUAAAAGUCAGUACCAAGGAACAAAUCCUGUAUGAAAUUAAGUCAGCAAUAAAUCUCCCUUUGGCAUCAGUAGUUCAAAAUCAGGGACUACGUGUCUGAGUCUAAUUGCAGUUAUUGUUCUCAGUGCUGCAGUGUGGACAAUGACCCCUACGAGGAAGCGUGACAAACUGAGAAAUCCUGCUGCUGUAAACAGCAUCAACUGUUCUCCCCUCUGUGACAUUCUCCUGUUAGUGACAUUCUGGAUCAUCUGUUCAAAAGUGUUCAACAAGUGACUAUUAAAGGCAGAACCUGAGCAUGGGUAGAGGAAAUAAUGCGAAUUUUGACGUGAAAUUCGCGCCGAUGGGUUUAGGCAGUUGCCUGCAGGAGUAUUGCCGGGCGGUGUAAUGAUGUGAGCAGCUGUAUUGCCCUCUAGUGACAGGUGAAGAAAUUCUUCUCCAUGCAAUAGGUAGCACCGUCAGACGCUUUCCAGACACAUAGUUAAGACAGGUAUCGGCAGUAAAAAGUUCUUCUGGAAGCUUUUGUAAUUUGGAGAGCCAUUCACAGGAGCGACCUUGGAAUUUGAAAUCUGACUCAGGGUUUUGUCACCUUUCGUGCAGGAUUUCUGCAUUUUCCAAAGAUUAGCAAGAAAAAAUGGAUGGCCCACAUGGUAACUAAAGCUUCAAAACAGUGCUGGUGAGAAAUACAAAGAAGUCACUAAGGAGGAUUAAACAUUUUAAGGAUCGCUGCUGCUAUUAAAACUGUAUCAUUUGAAAUUGUGUCCUAGGCAUACAGAUUACAGCUUCAUGUUCUUUGCACUGACAUAACACCAAGGACCUGACAAUCAAAUUUCUGGUGUGGGAAAAACAUGAGAUAAAGGCUUUCUCAAGUGAAAUGGACCAGACAAUUCAUGUUUUACAGAAUGAUGAGAAAAUUGUAGAAGUAGUCAAGCUUUGAUAUGGAGUAGGAAUGACCAGGUGUUCUGCACUUCAUCCUAUCAUAAAUGCUGUAGUUCCGCUGAUGUUAUUGUAGCUCCACAAACAAUAAGUUAAGAUCUUGGCUGCUAUAUGACCUCCUUACAGUGUAUACAGCUUAUCCUAAUGUACGGCAGUGUUUUGGAUAUGGGCAUGGUGAUCUAGUUGACAGGGGUUUUUCUCUGUAAUGCCUGAUGUUACACUGGUGGUUCAUCAGCUAAACUGUGGCCUAGACAACCUCCUCUAAUUCAUAAUAUAUAGGAAAUGAUACACACAGGUAGUAAAAGCUGCCCAGCUUCUGGCAGCAGGAGCAAAACAAAACCACCUUAUGCACGAUUUGUGGUCCACCCUGGGGAGUGCAGCUGGAGGGACUCUGGGUGGGUCAUGGGGCCAAAAGGGAUGUACUCUGCUGGGCCAGAUGUCUCUGGACACCCACUCGCUCCCAGAGCUUCAUCCAAAUCUCUAGACUAAAACAGCGGGUGCCUCAAAACUUUCAAAAAUACCAUCAAUAAAGCAGCUGGCGACAGAGGACUCUGCUGAAAGACAAGGAGAAUGGAAAGUCAUCCUCUCAAACAAGGUGGCUGCCAGGAAGAGCACCAAGGCCCAGCUGAAGAAAAUUACUGUACUCACUUUGGAAAUUAAAAUCACAGUGUCCAACAAUACUGUUAGAUGCUACUGCAAUUAGUUCUUCUUGGCAACACUACUGGGACAGGCGGAUGAACCUCAAGGGGGAUAUUUGUGGUGGAGGAUGAAGUACAAGAGAUGCAUGCCCACAUCCAGAAAAGUCUACAAAACAGACAUAUUCUCUCUACAACUGGACUAGCCAAAUCCUGCAGCCCACAAGGAAAGGCAAACUCUUAAAGCUUGUCUUCCUCAUCCUUACAAAAAUGCUCAGAUGUCUCAUAGACGGUGAGUUUAAUUCAGGAAAAGACCUGCAACUUACUCCAGUGGCAGAUAUCAUGCACUGAUAUUUACACAUCUUAAACUGAUUAUGAGGUGGAAAAAAAAUACAACGCAGUUGAAAGAAUUCUUUUGGGAAAGUCACAUUAAGACCAAAUAAUUUCCCACCAUUUAGCAAAACACAUCCCUGGACUGUAAUCACCCCUUUGAAGAGUAGGAAAUCUGCCAGGUGGCAAGGACUUGGACUUUUUAAUGAAGUUUCCAUCUCAUCUCUGUUUUCAGAUUAGUGAAGAGCUGCAUCUCU